rnacentral:rRNA from 1 species
GAUGAACGCUGGCGGUGUGCUUAACACAUGCAAGUCGAACGGUGAAGCCCAGCUUGCUGGGUGGAUCAGUGGCGAACGGGUGAGUAACACGUGAGCAACCUGCCCUGGACUCUGGGAUAAGCGCUGGAAACGGCGUCUAAUACUGGAUAUGAGACGUGAUCGCAUGGUCAACGUUUGGAAAGAUUUUUCGGUCUGGGAUGGGCUCGCGGCCUAUCAGCUUGUUGGUGAGGUAAUGGCUCACCAAGGCGUCGACGGGUAGCCGGCCUGAGAGGGUGACCGGCCAAACUGGGACUGAGACACGGCCCAGACUCCUACGGGAGGCAGCAGUGGGGAAUGUUGCACAAUGGGCGGAAGCUUGAUGCAGCAACGCCGCGUGAGGGAUGACGGCCUUCGGGUUGUAAACCUCUUUUAGCAAGGAAGAAGCUUUUGUGACGGUACUUGCAGAAAAAGCGCCGGCUAACUACGUGCCAGCCGCCGCGGUAACAC